rnacentral:rRNA from 1 species
CUUUCUUUGCUGGCGACCGGCGCACGGGUGAGUAACACGUAUCCAACCUGCCCUUUACUCGGGGAUAGCCUUUCGAAAGAAAGAUUAAUACCCGAUAGUAUAAUGAUUCCGCAUGGUUUCAUUAUUAAAGGAUUCCGGUAAAGGAUGGGGAUGCGUUCCAUUAGGUUGUUGGUGAGGUAACGGCUCACCAAGCCUUCGAUGGAUAGGGGUUCUGAGAGGAGGUCCCCCACAUUGGAACUGAGACACGGUCCAA